GGGUCGGUGCCCGAGCGGUCAAUGGGAGCUGACUGUAAAUCAGCCGGCUUACGCCUACGGAGGUUCAAAUCCUCCCCGGCCCACUA
rnacentral:tRNA from 1 species